CGGCGGACGGGUGAGUAAUGCCUAGGAAUCUGCCUGGUAGUGGGGGACAACGUUUCGAAAGGAACGCUAAUACCGCAUACGUCCUACGGGAGAAAGCAGGGGACCUUCGGGCCUUGCGCUAUCAGAUGAGCCUAGGUCGGAUUAGCUAGUUGGUGAGGUAAUGGCUCACCAAGGCGACGAUCCGUAACUGGUCUGAGAGGAUGAUCAGUCACACUGGAACUGAGACACGGCCCAGACUCCUACGGGAGGCAGCAGCGU
rnacentral:rRNA from 1 species